rnacentral:rRNA from 1 species
UACGAAGGGGGCUAGCGUUGCUCGGAAUCACUGGGCGUAAAGGGUGCGUAGGCGGGUCUUUAAGUCAGGGGUGAAAUCCUGGAGCUCAACUCCAGAACUGCCUUUGAUACUGAGGAUCUUGAGUUCGGGAGAGGUGAGUGGAACUGCGAGUGUAGAGGUGAAAUUCGUAGAUAUUCGCAAGAACACCAGUGGCGAAGGCGGCUCACUGGCCCGAUAUUGACGCUCAUGUACGAAAGCGUGGGGAGCAAACAGG